UUCCUGGUGGCUGAGUGGUAAAGAAUCUGCCUGCCAAUGCAGGAGACACAAGUUCAAACCCUGACCUGGGAG
rnacentral:tRNA from 1 species